GAGGUGGGAGCAUUACUUGAGCCUAGGAGGUUGAGGCUGCAGUGAGCCAUGAUCAUGCCACUGCACUCCAGCCUGAGUGACAGAGCAAGAC
ensembl:miRNA